rnacentral:rRNA from 1 species
ACGGAGGGUGCAAGCGUUAAUCGGAAUUACUGGGCGUAAAGCGUGCGUAGACGGUUAAGUAAGUCGGAUGUGAAAGCCCCGGGCUCAACCCGGGAAUUGCAUUCGAGACUGCGUAGCUAGGGUGCGGAAGAGGGAAGCGGAAUUUCCGGUGUAGCGGUGAAAUGCGUAGAUAUCGGAAGGAACAUCAGUGGCGAAAGCGGCUUCCUGGUCCAGCACCGACGUUCAGGCACGAAAGCGUGGGGAGCAAACAGGA